UGCUCGAGCAUAAAGGCAGACAAAUAUUUGUACAAGUACAUAUACAAGGGGCAUGAUCGUGCUUCCUUCUCAGUUGACCCGGCAACAACAGAUGGUGUUGUGAUAAAUGAGAUUCGGCAAUACAGGGAUGCAAGCGACCUCCUAAGGGAGGUUCAACAUGAGUUGUCAGUCGGUGUGGAUCGAGAGCAUUUAGAUAUGUAUACAUCCGUGAACAUUGAGCAGAGGGCUGGGUUUGAGGAAAUCUUGGAUCACGUGGUGAACAAUAGGAAACAUGUUUUCUUUGUUGAUGGUCCUGGUGGCACGGGGAAGACUUAUAUCUACAAGGUGCUUCUUGCUAAAGUGCGUUCAUUGGGGAAAAUAGCUAUUGCAACAGCAACAUCUGGAAUAUCACAUCAAUCAUGCCUGGUGGACGUACCGCCCACUCCAUGUUCAAAAUUCUGA
rnacentral:rRNA from 1 species